rnacentral:rRNA from 1 species
AUGAAAGGUCCGGCAACUGAAGGUGGCAGUGUGGCCGGGUCUGUUGAUGCUGCUUCAUAUCGUCUCUCUGACCCCGUGGGGGAGGGAGUGACUGCUCAACCUGGAGCCGGGGCUCGGCUGGGCACCAAGGUGGACGUGGUGGCCGGGGGUGGCAAACAGGGCCUGGCUGCCUCUGGUGGCUCGGCGAAGUUGGCGCGCUGGAGAAGGCUUCACAGAGAGGAGCAGGAGGAAUGGGCCAUCGUUCAAGCGGCGUGUGUGAAGCACGUACAGUUUGGGGUCCCAACCCCUCCGAACAGUGGCAGCGACCUGUCCGGUCGCAAGGCCGCUUUUGCUGAUAUUUUGGAGAGCUCGACGGGCAACAAGUUAAAGAUGUUUGGAAGACCAAGACCUUGUUCUUAG